rnacentral:rRNA from 1 species
CCCUUAGAUGUCCUGGGCCGCACGCGCGCUACACUGACAUGUUCAACAAGUUUCUCCUAGUUCGACAGGACUGGGAAAUCUUUGAACGCAUGUCGUGAUAGGGAUAGAUCAUUGCAAUUAUUGAUCUUGAACGAGGAAUUCCUAGUAAACGCGAGUCAUCAGCUCGCGUUGAUUACGUCCCUGCCCUUUGUACACACCGCCCGUCGCACCUACCGAUUGAAUGUUUCGGUGAAGAUUCCGGAUAGGACUGAUUUGAUUUAUUUCAUUUCUGACCUAAAAGCUAUCUAAACCUCAACAUUUAGAGGAAGGUGAAGUCGUAACA